GACAGAGGUGCCAAGCGUUAGGCGGAAUCACUGGGCUUAAAGCGUGUGUAGGCGGAUUCCUAAGUACCUUGUGAAAUCCCACGGCUCAACCGUGGAAGUGCCCCUGAUACUGAUCGCCUCGAGGGAGGUAGGGGCGUGCGGAACUUCCGGUGGAGCGGUGAAAUGCGUCGAUAUCGGAAGGAACACCGAUGGCGAAAGCAGCGCGCUGGACCUUUACUGACGCUGAGGCGCGAAAGCCAGGGGAGCAAACGGG
rnacentral:rRNA from 1 species